GGCUGAGCCGCUUGGCACCGAGCAGCCAGGGCUUGAUCGUGGGCUGCGGGGCUGGGCCCACCUUCCCUGAGCCUCAGAAACACCUGUCACUCGGGUUGAAGGCCGUGGCCGUCCCCCUCCCCGGCCACACACACCCCUCCUGCAAGGGUCAUCGGGCAGCGGUGACCCUGACCAUGGGGCUGGGGGCAGGACGGGUCCGGGGUUCCUGUGCUGGUCCCGGGGGCAGGGGCUUCGCGGAGACGCAGGGACGGGGCCCUGACCAGUGCAGUUAGGAAGACGGGGGUGUUGUGACGGUCGGCUCACGCUGUCUCCUUCCUCGCUUCAUGAUUUUCCUCUCUGUAAGGGGGCCUCGUCAGAGCCAGGAGGACGCCGCCCAGCCCCCACGGGAGCUGCAGGUGUGGUCUCCGUUCCCGGGAGCCCGCCUGCCCACCUGCUCCGUGCUGACUGAGGUGUCCUUUCACGGCAGGCUGGGGGUGACUUCCAGGGACGCUGCAGCAGCUGCCCAGGUCCAGCCAAGAGAUCGCCGACUCCCGGGAAAGCCCCGCCCCUCCCUUCCUGCCUGCGCCUGCCACCCGCCCCUCCCCGCCCCCGUGGACUCUGUCCUAGCGUGGACCGGGUCAGUGGGCUCGUGCUGUGUGUGCCUUGUCCUUAACAGUCAUGGAACUUGGGGCCCUGCCGAGUUGCCAUUCUCAGCGGGCAGUCUGAGAGCCCGGAGCAGCGCUCUGAGGCUGGGGCGCCGGGCAGCGCCGCGGGGAGGAGCGUUCGGUAAUGGAGCGGAGCUUCCAGGAAUGGGUGCGGAUUCCUGGGCGUCUGGCCCAGCGCCCGCAGUGCCGGAGCCCGCGGCAGGUCCCAGCCCAGAGCCGCUGCCUGCCCGCUCACCUGGCCUGCCUCGCUCCACGGGCGAGGAGGAUGUGGCUGACCCAGACAGAUGGAGAGACCGGGUCUCAGGGCCCACGACGGAUCAGUGGCUGAGCUGGAUAUAAAACCUGUUGAACGCCCCUGGGCCAUCACCACCUUGCCCCCGUGAGUCCCAAGACACCUGCAGACCCAGAGCAGACCGUGAGCCGUGAGAAAAUUGCAGGUAGCCGUUUAAAGGUUGUGUCUUG
rnacentral:lncRNA from 1 species